GAAGGCCGUUCGGGUUAGUAAAGCUACUUUCAGUCGUGAGGAAGGUAGUGUAGUUAAUAGCUGCAUUAUUUGACGUUAGCGACAGAAGAAGCACCGGCUAACUCCGUGCCAGCAGCCGCGGUAAUACGGGAGGGUGCGAGACGUUAAGUACGGUAAUUACGUGGGACGUAAAGCGCAUGCAGGUGGUUUAGUUAAGUCAGAUGUAGAAACGGCCCCGGGGCUACCAACCGUACGGAAUAGCUAUUUAGAAACGUGGCAGACUAGAGUACUGUAGAGGGGGUAGAAUUUCAGGUGUAGCGGUGAAAUGCGUAGAGAUCUGAAGGAAUACCAGUGGCGAAGGCGGCCCCCUGGACAAAGACUGACGCUCAGAUGCGAAAGCGUGGGGAGCAAACAGGAUUAGAUACCCUGGAG
rnacentral:rRNA from 1 species